GCCGAGGACGACCGGUCCUUUUAGGAACCUGGUUUGGCCGAGGCAUCUCUUGGUGUACGUGAUGGCGCUUGAUUGUGCUACACGGACUCCAGGGCUUUUACUUUGAGGAAAUUAGAGUGUUCCAAGCAGGCAUCGCCCUGUAUAUAUUAGCAUGGAAUAAUAGGAUAGGACUUCGGUCUUAUUUUGUUGGUUUCAGGGACUGAAGUAAUGAUUAAUAGGGAUAGUCGGGGGCAUUUGUACUUAACUGUCAGAGGUGGAAUUCUUGGAUUUGUUAAAGACGAACUACUGCGAAAGCAUUUGCCAAGGAUGUUUUCAUUGAUCAAGAACGAAAGUUAGGGGAUCGAAGACGAUUAGAUACCGUCCUAGUCUUAACCAUAAACCAUGCCGACUAGAGAUUGGAGGUCGUUACAUUGUGAUGCCUUCAGCACCUCGUGAGAAAUCAAAGUCUAUGGGU
rnacentral:rRNA from 1 species